AUUUUAAAUAAUUAUAUUUAAUUUUUAAUGUAUAAACAUGUGUGUGCCUUCAAAAAUGCAUUUAUACAUAUAUCUUAAAAAGUAGUCAUUUAAGACGUUCAACUAGAAGAAAAUCUUAAAGGUUUGUUGUUAAACUAACGAUUUAAAAUACCCGUGUAGGUGCGAGAAGACUGUAUUCAUAAAAUGCAAUCUCCUGCGCAGUGAUGACUUCGAGGGUGAAAUUGUCCUGUAAUAUAAGUUGCAUAUAGUGCAUUAGUGCAUUAAAAUAAUUGUUAAUUAAUCGAAGGCAACGUGUAUUAUUGUUUAAAAACACUGAAUAUAUGAUCAGAGUACUGUCCUCUU